UACGUAGGGUCCGAGCGUUGUCCGGAAUUACUGGGCGUAAAGAGCUCGUAGGUGGUUUGUCGCGUUGUUCGUGAAAACUCACAGCUUAACUGUGGGCGUGCGGGCGAUACGGGCAGACUAGAGUACUGCAGGGGAGACUGGAAUUCCUGGUGUAGCGGUGGAAUGCGCAGAUAUCAGGAGGAACACCGGUGGCGAGGGCGGGUCUCUGGGCCAUUACUGACGCUGAGGAGCGAAAGCGUGGGGAGCGAACAGG
rnacentral:rRNA from 1 species